GACCUCGUAACUCAUCUGGUAGAGCGUGCGCGUACAAUGCGUAGGUGGCGUCUAUGCGUGGGUUCGAAUCCCACUGAGGCCA
rnacentral:tRNA from 1 species